ACGGAGGGUGCAAGCGUUAAUCGGAAUCACUGGGCGUAAAGCGCUCGUAGGCGGUUUGGUCAGUCAGAUGUGAAAGCCCUCGGCUUAACCGGGGAACUGCAUUUGAUACUGCCAGACUUGAGUGUCGGAGAGGGUGGCGGAAUUCCGGGUGGAGGAGUGAAAUCCGUAGAUAUGCGGAGGAAGACCAGUAGCGAAGGCAGACAACUGGACGACAACUGACGCUGAGGAGCGAAAGUGUCGGGAGCAAACAG
rnacentral:rRNA from 1 species